UAGAUUAAAAACGUAACCAUGUAAACAAAUACAACAAUAAAUUAUGCAAGGUUUAUUUACCAAUUCCCUGUGGUACAUCGAGUUCUUCGUCUUUGCUAUAGUGCUGAUCGGAUUUUUCAUUUUGUUCUUGUAUAUGGCUAACACAAAUUACGUCCAAUAUAAUGUUAGAUACGAUAUGAGGCAAAAGUACAUGGCUGAUGGUACUUGGCUUCUACAAGCAUAGAAUAAUGAAAAAAAUAGAUGGCAAAAUACAGAUAAUUGUGUACCAAAGCAUCGCGAGCGAUAAAUGUAAAUGCAAGCCGCCUGAGCCGGCCCAGCGGCCCGUGUGUGUUGACAUGGGCUGUAUAUGGUUCUGCAGACUCAUUGGGAGCAUCGUCACCAUCGCCGUCUGUUACUACUUCGCCUACGCUCUAAUAUCCGAUACCAAGCUUAAGUUUGGACUCUUUGUUCCACCGUAAAUCAUAUAAAAUAUAAAAUAUUAUUAUAAAGAGGAAAGAUUUGUAUUAUUGAAAUAAAUGGAGGACAAAAACCUGUUGCGCCGACCUUACAGGAAUAGGAUGAAUAGGUAGAUAAUGUAUGUAUUGAAUUAACUCAAAAACUACUGGGUCGAUUUAAAUAA